UAUUGAGCUUUGACAAGGAGAAGUAGGAAGCGCUCUGCUUACCCAGAGAGAAUCAUCACCGGCUGGAAAUGAUUCUAAGCACCGUUUGUGAAAUGCACCUUGGAGCCCGUUAUGGAAAGUGAGUAUAUAGCGGCGGCGCUCUGCCGUUAACAGAGAGCAAGCCGGGAGAAAUCCAGUUUUCUCCAAACAGAGUGGAACCGCGCUAUAAGCGUCUCUGUG
rnacentral:ncRNA from 1 species